GAAUGGGUGCCAGGGCCACUGCUCUCAGCUGCACACACGCCCGUGUCUGCCGUCAGCAGCGGGUGGGCCUUGGCUGCCGGGCUGGCGGUCUCAGCCCCCUGGGGGUCAGCCGGCUGUCAGCAUGGGGCAGCCCCGACGGACGGAGCUGGCAGUGUUUUGGAUCAACCCCACGUGGAGCAGGGGACUCUCACCACGGGAGGCUCAGAAGUGGGCGGGAAACUUGGGCACGAAAGCGCCGUGGAGAAGGUGGCACCGCGCUGGUCCUCCCGGACGCCCAAGCAGUGCCGAGAAUAUGUACUUGCCCUUGAAUUAUGUUUUUCCUCUCACACUGAUUUGUGAGUCUUGAAAACCAUCACUGUUAAAAAAGAAAUUCAAAGGAGACAAAGGAAAUGAAUAAAAUCCCUGCUCGGAGGGGGAAAAGCAAUAGAAGCCUCCAAUAGGGCGAUUUCAUGCUUUUGUUAAUUAAACGAACAAAGCAAAAAAAAGAAAAAGAAAAAAAAA